CACGUAGGGACCAAGCGUUGUCCGGAUUCAUUGGGCGUAAAGAGCUCGUAGGCGGUUCGAUAAGUCGGGUGUGAAACCUCCAGGCUCAACCUGGAGACGCCACCCGAUACUGUCGUGACUAGAGUCCAGUAGGGGAGCGUGGAAUUCCUGGUGUAGCGGUGAAAUGCGCAGAUAUCAGGAGGAACACCAAUGGCGAAGGCAGCUCACUGGGACGGUAUUGACGCUGAGACGCGAAAGCGUGGGGAGCAAACAGG
rnacentral:rRNA from 1 species